GAAACCUCAGAAUCAGUUCUCCAUCGUAUUGUCUCAUCUAUGAAUCCAUUCCUAAAACAUGACUGGACUACAUUCAAUUGCUUCUAUCAAUUUUAUCUAUCAAAGUACAAGUACAAGCUGGAUCUGCCAGAAUUUGCGAAUCUAAGGCUAAAUGAAGAUAAUAUUGCUUUUUAUUCCACAAUCCAAGACUCCCUUUGCUGUGCUGGUGU